AUUGAACGCUGGCGGCAUGCUUUACACAUGCAAGUCGAACGGCAGCGCGGGCUUCGGCCUGGCGGCGAGUGGCGAACGGGUGAGUAAUACAUCGGAACGUGCCCAGUAGUGGGGGAUAGCUCGGCGAAAGCCGGAUUAAUACCGCAUACGACCUGAGGGUGAAAGCGGGGGAUCUUCGGACCUCGCGCUAUUGGAGCGGCCGAUGGCAGAUUAGCUAGUUGGUGGGGUAAAGGCCUACCAAGGCGACGAUCUGCAGCUGGUCUGAGAGGACGACCAGCCACACUGGGACUGAGACACGGCCCAGACUCCUACGGGAGGCAGCAGUGGGGAAUUUUGGACAAUGGGCGAAAGCCUGAUCCAGCAAUGCCGCGUGUGUGAUGAAGGCCUUCGGGUUGUAAAGCACUUUUGGCGGGAACGAAAAGGACUGUGCCAAUACCACGGUUCGAUGACGGUACCCGCAGAAUAAGCACCGGCUAACUACGUG
rnacentral:rRNA from 1 species